rnacentral:rRNA from 1 species
CUCCGGUUGAUCCUGCCGGACCCGACUGCUAUCAGAGUGGGACUAAGCCAUGCGAGUCAACAUAGCAAUAUGUGGCAUACGGCUCAGUAACACGUAGUCAACAUGCCCAGGGGACGUGGAUAACCUCGGGAAACUGAGGAUAAACCGCGAUAAGUCACUACUUCUGGAAUGGGUAAUGACUCAAAUCUACAUGGCCCCUGGAUUGGACUGCGGCCGAUCAGGCUGUUGGUGAGGUAAUGGCCCACCAAACCUGUAACCGGUACGGGCUCUGAGAGGAGGAGCCCGGAGAUGGGCACUGAGACAAGGGCCCAGGCCCUAUGGGGCGCAGCAGGCGCGAAACCUCUGCAAUAGGCGAAAGCUUGACAGGGUUACUCUGAGUGAUUUCCGUUAAGGAGAUCUUUUGGCACCUCUAAAAAUGGUGCAGAAUAAGGGGUGGGCAAGUCUGGUGUCAGCCGCCGCGGUAAUACCAGCACCCCGAGUGGUCGGGACGUUUAUUGGGCCUAAAGCAUCCGUAGCCGGUUCUACAAGUCUUCCGUUAAAUCCACCUGCUUAACAGAUGGGCUGCGGAAGAUACUAUAGAGCUAGGAGGCGGGAGAGGCAAGCGGUACUCGAUGGGUAGGGGUAAAAUCCGUUGAUCCAUUGAAGACCACCAGUGGCGAAGGCGGCUUGCCAGAACGCGCUCGACGGUGAGGGAUGAAAGCUGGGGGAGCAAACCGGAUUAGAUACCCGGGUAGUCCCAGCUGUAAACGAUGCAGACUCGGUGAUGAGUUGGCUUAUUGCUAACUCAGUGCCGCAGGGAAGCCGUUAAGUUUGCCGCCUGGGGAGUACGGUCGCAAGACUGAAACUUAAAGGGAUUGGCGGGGGAGCA